GGGGUCAUAGCUCAGUUGGGAGAGCGCUUGCAUGGCAUGCAAGAGGUCGUCGGUUCGAUUCCGUCUGGCUCCACCA
rnacentral:tRNA from 2 species